GCGUACGUGGCGGAAUUGGUAGACGCGUUAGGUUGAGGGCCUAAUGACUUUUUUAGUUGUGGAAGUUCGAGUCUUCUCGUACGCA
rnacentral:tRNA from 1 species